CCGCCCGGAUGGUCUAGUGGUAUGAUUCUCCGUUUGGGUUCACAUCUCAAAUUCGGAGAGGCCGCGUGUUCGAAUCGCGCUUCGGGCCC
rnacentral:tRNA from 1 species